rnacentral:lncRNA from 1 species
AGGUCUUCUAAUAAAGCCACGUCUUCCAGAAAAUUUAUGUCUUCCACUAGAUCCAGGUCUUCCAACAAAUAUGUCUUCCAGAAAAUCGACGUCUUCCAGAAAAUCGAUGUCUUCCAGCAAAUCCACGUCUUCCAACAAGGCUGUGUCUUCCAGCAAAUUCAUGUCUUCCGGCCUACCCACGUCUUCCAACAAAUUUGUCUUCCAGAAAAUCCACGUCUUCCUGCAUCUCCAGGGCUUCCAGCAUCUCCAGGGCUUCCAGCAUCUGCUCGUCUUCCAGCAUCUCUGCGUCUUCCAGCAACUCCACGUCUUCCAGCAUCUCCACGUCUUCCGACAACUACCCAGUCUUCCAACAGGGGGCUCAAUAUCCACAUCUUCCAACGUCUCCAGAGUGCCGGUCUUCUAACAUUGGGUCUUCCAGUGUCUACAAUAUCCAGGAUUUACCUGUUUCUUCACAUAUCAUUGACCUCCUGGAUUCCUGACUACUGUCUUGUGUUCAACUAA